rnacentral:rRNA from 1 species
AUUGAACGCUGGCGGCAUGCUUUACACAUGCAAGUCGAACGGUAACAGGCCUUCGGGUGCUGACGAGUGGCGCACGGGUGAGUAAUGCAUCGGAACGUGCCCAGAGGUGGGGGAUAACGCAGCGAAAGCUGUGCUAAUACCGCAUGUGAUCUGAGGAUGAAAGCGGGGGACCAGGCAGCAAUGUUUGGCCUCGCGCCUUUGGAGCGGCCGAUGUCAGAUUAGGUAGUUGGUGGGGUAAAGGCCUACCAAGCCGACGAUCUGUAGCUGGUCUGAGAGGACGACCAGCCACACUGGGACUGAGACACGGCCCAGACUCCUACGGGAGGCAGCAGUGGGGAACUUUGGACAAUGGGCGCAAGCCUGAUCCAGCAAUGCCGCGUGCGGGAAGAAGGCCUUCGGGUUGUAAACCGCUUUUGUACGGAACGAAAAGGCUCUGGCUAAUACCUGGGGCUGAUGACGGUACCGUAAGAAUAAGCACCGGCUAACUACGUG